GGAGAGAUGGGUGAGUGGCUGAAACCAACGGUUUGCUAAACCGUCGUACUGCGCAAGCAUUACCGAGGGUUCGAAUCCCUCUCUCUCCG
rnacentral:tRNA from 2 species